rnacentral:rRNA from 1 species
GAUGAACGCUGGCGGCGUGCUUAACACAUGCAAGUCGAACGAUGAAGCCCAGCUUGCUGGGUGGAUUAGUGGCGAACGGGUGAGUAGCACGUGAGCAACCUGCCCCUGACUCUGGGAUAAGCGCUGGAAACGGCGUCUAAUACUGGAUACGAACAAGAAUCGCAUGGUUACUUGUUGGAAAGAUUUUUUGGUUGGGGAUGGGCUCGCGGCCUAUCAGCUUGUUGGUGAGGUAAUGGCUCACCAAGGCGUCGACGGGUAGCCGGCCUGAGAGGGUGACCGGCCACACUGGGACUGAGACACGGCCCAGACUCCUACGGGAGGCAGCAGUGGGGAAUAUUGCACAAUGGGCGGAAGCCUGAUGCAGCAACGCCGCGUGAGGGAUGACGGCCUUCGGGUUGUAAACCUCUUUUAGCAGGGAAGAAGCGAGAGUGACGGUACCUGCAGAAAAAGCGCCAGCUAACUACGUGCCAGCCGCCGCCGUAAAAC